UGCUAAGUAUAUGCACUAUACGAGAAAGCUGCGAAUGGCUCAUUAAAUCAGUUAUCGUUUAUUUGAUAUACCUUUCUACAUAGGAUAGCCGUGGUAAUUCUAGAGCUAAUACCAUGCUAAAAAUCCCGACUCACGAGGGAAUGUAUUUAUUAGAUUAAAACCAAUGUCCCUUCGGGGCUUACAGGUGAGUCAUGAUAACUUCUCGAAUCGCAUGGCCUUGUGCCGGCGAUGGUUCAUUCAAAUUUCUGCCCUAUCAACAUUCGAUGGCAGGGUCUUGGCCUGCCAUGGUUACAACGGGUAACGGAGGGUUAGGGCUCGACCCCGGAGAAGGAGCCUGAGAAACGGCUACUACAUCCAAGGAAGGCAGCAGGCGCGCAAAUUACCCAAUCCCGAUACGGGGAGGUAGUGACAAUAAAUACUGAUACAGGGCUCUUUUGGGUCUUGUAAUUGGAAUGAGUACAAUUUAAAUCCCUUAACGAGGAACAAUUGGAGGGCAAGUCUGGUGCCAGCAGCCGCGGUAAUUCCAGCUCCAAUAGCGUAUAUUAAAGUUGUUGCAGUUAAAAAGCUCGUAGUUGAACCUUGGGCCUGGCUGGCCGGUCCGCCUCACCGCGUGCACUGGUUCGGCCGGGCCUUUCCCUCUGGGGAACCCCAUGUCCUUCACUGGGUGUGGUGGGGAACCAGGACUUUUACUGUGAAAAAAUUAGAGUGUUCAAAGCAGGCCUAUGCUCGAAUAGUACAGCAUGGAAUAAUAGAAUAGGACGCGCGGUUCUAUUUUGUUGGUUUCUAGGACCGCCGUAAUGAUUAAUAGGGACAGUCGGGGGCAUCAGUAUUCAAUUGUCAGAGGUGAAAUUCUUGGAUUUAUUGAAGACUAACUACUGCGAAAGCAUUUGCCAAGGAUGUUUUCAUUAAUCAGGAACGAAAGUUAGGGGAUCGAAGACGAUCAGAUACCGUCGUAGUCUUAACCAUAAACUAUGCCGACUAGGGAUCGGACGAUGUUAUUUUUUGACUCGUUCGGCACCUUACGAGAAAUCAAAGUCUUUGGGUCUGGGGGG
rnacentral:rRNA from 1 species